rnacentral:rRNA from 1 species
GAUGAACGCUGGCGGCGUGCCUAAUACAUGCAAGUCGAGCGAACAGAUGAGGAGCUUGCUCCUCUGACGUUAGCGGCGGACGGGUGAGUAACACGUGGAUAACCUACCUAUAAGACUGGGAUAACUUCGGGAAACCGGAGCUAAUACCGGAUAAUAUAUUGAACCGCAUGGUUCAAUAGUGAAAGACGGUUUUGCUGUCACUUAUAGAUGGAUCCGCGCCGCAUUAGCUAGUUGGUAAGGUAACGGCUUACCAAGGCAACGAUGCGUAGCCGACCUGAGAGGGUGAUCGGCCACACUGGAACGGAGACACGGUCCAGACUCCUACGGGAGGCAGCAGUAGGGAAUGUUCCGCAAUGGGCGAAAGCCUGACGGAGCAACGCCGCGUGAGUGAUGAAGGUCUUCGGAUCGUAAAACUCUGUUAUUAGGGAAGAACAAAUGUGUAAGUAACUAUGCACGUCUUGACGGUACCUAAUCAGAAAGCCACGGCUAACUACGUG